rnacentral:rRNA from 1 species
AGUGAACGCUGGCGGCGUGCUUAACACAUGCAAGUCGAACGAGAACGGAAUAUAGCUUGCUAUAUUUGUCAGCUAAGUGGCGCACGGGUGAGUAAUGUAUAGAUAACCUGCCCUUAAGAAAGGAAUAACAGUUGGAAACGACUGCUAAUGCCCUAUAUGCCUUUAAUACAUAAGUAUGCAAGGGAAACGCUUUAGUGCUUAAGGAUGGGUCUGUAUGGUAUCAGCUUGUUGGUGAGGUAAUGGCUCACCAAGGCUAUGACGCCUAACUGGUUUGAGAGGAUGAUCAGUCACACUGGAACUGAGACACGGUCCAGACUCCUACGGGAGGCAGCAGUGGGGAAUAUCGCACAAUGGACGAAAGUCUGAUGCAGCAACGCCGCGUGGAGGAUGACACAUUUCGGUGCGUAAACUCCUUUUAUAUAGGAAGAUAAUGACGGUACUAUAUGAAUAAGCACCGGCUAACUCCGUGCCAGCCGCCGCCGUAA